rnacentral:rRNA from 1 species
AUGGGGGCAACCCUGAUCCAGCCAUGCCGCGUGUGUGAAGAAGGCCUUCGGGUUGUAAAGCACUUUUGUUGGGGAAGAAACCGGCCGGGUUAAUACCCUGGUUGAAUGACGGUACCCAAAGAAUAAGCACCGGCUAACUUCGUGCCAGCAGCCGCGGUAAU